UCUAUAACCGGGUGUGGCUGCGGCCUCCGGGGGCGUGGGCGUCGAGACGAUGCCCUCUCUUCCGGGUGGUAGAGGUAAAACUCUCACGCGCCACAUGUCUGAAUCCUUUUUUUACGAGCACCUUUCGUUCUCCUUCGGUGGGGUGACCUGCCGUUGGAACCCAUCAAAACUCUUUUUGCAUCUAGCAUUACCUGUUCUGAUACAAACAAUCGUUA
rnacentral:misc_RNA from 1 species